rnacentral:lncRNA from 1 species
AAAGUGUUAGGAACCUCUCACUUCCAUUGUACUCAAUGUGAUCCUCCUAUAAUCCUAGGGUUAGUAUGUGUUUCUAAGGGAAUAUUUACCUGUAUUUUUUAUCUAUUUAUUCUUGCUUAAUUUAUUUAUUUACAAGAAAUAAUUUUUUUAUUAAGAGGAAAUGUUGAAAAAAGGGACAAAGAAAACGUUUUUGGUUAUUGUAUUCGCUAGAGUGCUA